GAAACAUACUUACCAAAGGAUAAACAAUUUCAGAAAACAGACUUUGGUUUUGGCAGCCAACACGGCUACAAGCCCUACUUAUCUUCGCGAAUCCUCCAUCUCCCCAAGUAGUGCCCCAUGAAUUUUGUAUUAUCCAAUAAUGAUUACCAUUUAAGCUGUUGUAGCCCACCAGUAAAACCACGUGAUCACCUCUAGGUUUCUUAGACGUUUUCGGUCCAUAGUAAAUCCCCUAAAAUUUACACACACGCAAACAUAAUUAAUAUUAAUGUUUAACAUAUCAAUUGAACAAUUGAUUAAACAAUACAUAACUUACUUCUCCAAUAUGAGAUCUUAACUCAUCUGUAGCUUGUAAACUCACUAUUACAGGACCAGUAUCCACUAAUUUGAUCAACUCUUCUUCGUUGACCUCUGUAAUUGACACCAGAUCCUCAAUCUUCAAAACAGGUACUUCUUUUCUCUAGCAAAAAAAAAACAGUUAAAUACAAAAAACUUAAUUGUUAAGAUAUAUAAAUCAUCUUACCAUUAUCUUUCUAGCGCAUGGAUCCUUUUUGUUUGUCCUCUUUGCGCAUUCACAAUCUUCUUUCCGAAUUACACCUUCAUUUUUCAAAAAGCUUCUUAUUUCCUUAAAGUUCUUGACAGCUCCUUGGGCCUUCUUUUUUUCGAUGCUGUCAAAAAGGUGUUUAUCCGAAAGUGAAAUAUCCAAGCCAAACAGGAUUUUCACUCUUGCUUCUAGAGAUUUGUUGGUGCUGUGAACCCAACAUGUUUCUGUAUAAAAAUAUUAAAACAUUUGGGGUGUAUAUGAUUCACUUACUUUAUUAUAAUUAUACAUACGGACAUUGCGUAUUUUAAGUAUGAGAUAAAAGAUAUAUACCCUUGUUUCCUUGGUUAGUAACCUCCUUAUAAACAGCACCUUCAGUUUUACUCCAAUCUCUUGAGUAGUAUUUAGCACCUCUAACAUCCUAAAAACAUAUAUAUUUUGAUAAAUAACAGCAUAACAUUAGGGGUUGAUAAAAAAAACAGCAUAACAAUAGGGGAGUUUAAUAAAAAUUGAAAAGAUAGAAAUAUAAUUAAACGAAAAUAAUCACUUACAGGUGGAUAGUGUGGAUCACAGCUUGUCAAGCGCUUAAUAAAAAUAAAAUCUUAUGUUAAUAAGAAUACAUAAUUCCAGAAAAUGAUUGUUUAAAACAGUGUUAGAGAUUUACCACGGUAUUUGCAGUAACAUUUUCCACUUUGGAUUUCUUUUUCCCUCCUUUUGAUUUUUUGUCUUUGCUUCCACCAUACUGUUGACUAUCCCCUUCCAUGACCUAAUUAAAACAAAAAUAAUAAUAAUAUUAGAACCUUUAAAUAUGAACACUGAGUUCAAAAGAGGAGAAAACAAAAUCAUUUUUUCGGUGAGAAAAAUCUAAGAAAAGAAACGAAGAAAAUAAAUGUAACAAAACAUAAGCGGUUUUCUCAAAAACCUUUAAACAUUAACGUUGAGUUCAAAAAAAAGAAAAGAAAACUAAAUCAAAUCAGUUUUCUCUGUGAUAAACCAGGAAAAGAGAUGACGAACAUAAAUCAAACAAAGCAUCAGUGGGUUUUCCCAAAAUAAAUUUAAACAUGAACUUUGAGUUCUUCAAAAGAGAAGAAAACCACUUUGUGAGAAUCCAAGAAAAUAAAGGAACGAACAUAAAUACAUUUAUUGAAGUGGAGAUGACACCGGUGUUCUUAGAAAAGGAAAAAAAGGACAAAAGAAAUACUUACUUGAGUAGAGUAGGCGAUGGUUUUCUUAGAAAGAUCAGAAAUCAAAAUAAGGAUUUUCGCUAGAGAAUACUGGGUUUCUGAGAAAGAUGAGAAAGAAAAUAGGGAUCUUCUCUCCUGGUUAAUAGAUGAGAGAGACACAGAGUAUGUGACACUGCACUGUAUCAUAUAUAUUUAUCUGUGUACUGUUGGUCAUCCAUCAUACAAGAAGAAAAAGAUUGUUUUUUGUUCAAUAAAUGUAGUUUUUUUACAUAGUCCUAUAUUAUGAUCUUAAUUACUCUAAAGAAUACGGAAUAAAUACUUUUAAUAUUUAUUUUUAAUGACCCAUAUACGUAUGCUACUACUAUUUAAUUUAGUGAGAUUAAAAACUCAAAAAGUUGUAAAAUGAUAGAACUAAUAUUAUUAAUUAGGUGUUCUCAUGUUUUUAUAUUUGAAUGCAUCAAACAUAUAAUCACUAGCUGCAACAUUCAUACAUUUAUGAUUAAUUCUGUCAUCCAUUAGACCAAAAAAAUUCUGUCAUCCAUGUUAUAGACUUUCCUAUUUAUAUUUCUGUUGAAUAUUUUAACCAUUUAAAUUUUAAUUAGUACUCAAAAUUUAACCCUUCAACAUAAAAUAACGUUAUAAAUUGUCAUGUGAUCUUUUAAUUUAUUAUGUGCAUGGAUGGUCCCAUGUGAUACGAUGUUAUUUAGGGCACAAGGAUUAAUGAGUUAAAAUAUUAUUUCCAGUAAAAUAGUUUCGAAAAGAAAAGGACAUAUUAUCCACAUAUCGUGCAGCCAUAUACAUGUGUAUUGUCACCAUAUGCAUAAAAUGUAGGUAUUCUCUCAUAUGGAAUACCAUAUCAAUGUUUAUCAUUUGGUAUUGUCGUUUUUGUUACUUUAAACUCCAGAGUCAAUUUAUAUGCGUAGUACUGUAUCUGUAUAUUGUGGUUCAUUUAUCGCACAUGACUUUUUUUUUUUUUUUAAACUCGCACAUGACUUAUGUGUGUGAUUUAAAAAUACAUCAUGCUCGUCCAUCCGAUAACAUGCUGAUUUGAAAGUUCACAGAAAAUAAAACGCAUUACUUAUCUACGAAAGUACUACGGUGACUAAAGAUAAAAUGAUUAUCGAAAUUAUAUGAUAGUCCACAAUUUUGCUGACACUAAUCAAAUGAUAGUUUUUGGGGUAUUUCAAUAAUUUAAUGGGUAUCUGUCCGAUUAUAUGUAAAUUUGGAUAUGCUUAUUACUUACAGAUUUGUAGAACCUAAAAAAAAAUAUAUCAAAAGUUUGUUUAAGAUGUGAAGUUAGUAGGCAUCUAUGGUCUCUGAUCACAAGGCGGCUAGGAUACAGAACCUUCACCUUCCACACUUGGACAGCUUUCACUUCCUGGCUGGGUUCUCAACACCCCACCCACUCAUCUACCUUGCGUCGUCUUGCGGCCCAAGCAACAAUCUACAUCCUCUGGUAUGAGCGCAAUAGCCGUCUCCACAACAACAUGUCAUCAUCACCAGCGGCUCUGUUCAAGCAACUUGACAGGCUGAUCAAAGAUUCCAUUCUUGCUCGACGGAAGAUAAAGGCUUUCGGUGGGCUCCUUAGGCGCUGGCUUGCCUUCGCCUAGACCUCUGUUUUAUCAUCUGUUGCAUUUUGCUAAUCUAGUUCAGGUUUACACCAUGUUUUUUCUCUUUUUGCCAUGGUGCUCUCCUGUAAGCUUUAACCUUUGUAUUACACAACCUGCCCAUUCUAGUAAUGAAAUUCAUAUUCUUAGCAAAAAAAAAAAAGUUUGUUUAAAGUUGACGUACAAAAAUAGUUCCCCCAAAACAAAAUACAAUCAAACUAGAGUACAGAAAUAAUCCAGAAUAUGAUCAUCAAGUUUUCCUUUUGUUCACUUGUAAAUGUAGUAAAAACUUUCCUACAAUCUACAUUUAGGAAAAUGCUUGUUUACUUGCCAUCUUCAGAUAAUUUCUUUGUGCCCCCUAUAAUCAUAAUUCAUAUCAAUAUAAAACCUCUUCUCAUUCUCAACUUAAACAGCAGCUUAAGCCAUUUAUUUUCUUAUUAAUGUUCAAUUAAUUAUUAUACAUUAUUAUUAUAUAAUAUUGAUAAUACAAUAAAUAUUAUUAUAAACUACAUUGAAAUCUUUUUAAAUUAAUAAUGUUGCGCACUAAAACUAUUUUUUUUAUUAUUAAUUUAUAGAUAUAUUAAUUUAUUAAUAUAAUAAUUAAACAAAAAACUCAAUUUGGAACUAGAAAAUUAUAUUAUUUUAUAGAAAUUUUUAGUGUAUAUUAAUUUAUAGAGUAUUAAUUUAAAGAGGUUAUACUGUAUUGAUAAAUAGUUUCAUAACAUCAUUUAAUCUAUCAGUAGUACAUGCAUGGUUCCGUUGUGGAUACGAUGUUGUUUAGGGCACAAUAUAUAGUGAUAUUAGUUUCCAAUAAAAGACGUUUCUAAAAGAGAGACAAAUAUUUGAACAAAAAAUAAAUAAAAAAGCGAGAGACAAAUUAUAACUGCAGCUGCCACCUCAAAAGGUAAUCUUGAUCCCCAUAUGGGACCAUAUACAUAAAUAAGUAUACUCUGACAGGGAUAUUAAACUAUCAAUGCCUGAUUUUUCUUUAUGUAUAUUAUCGAUUCUUGUUACCUUAAUUCCUGAUUUUUUUGUCAACCUAAUUCCUGAAUUAUUGCUCAAAAUACUAGUUACGUUUUCAAUUUUAACUAAAAUCAUCUAGUAUCUUCAUUACUUAGACAUUUUGGAUUAUAACACACUUACUUUUUAAAUAACACACUUACUUUUUAAAUACAUAUGCUGUAUUACCAUGGCCCAUGGGCAGAGCAAAGAAUGCUUUACUGACACGAGCCUGCCCAGAGACAAGCGUAUGUAACCAAUGACUGUCAAUAAAACGUUAAUAUAUAAAGUUAUAUAUAGUAAUAUAUAUUCGUUUGACCAAAAAAGUAAAUAUGUAUUCAAAAUCUUAAAUCGGUUCUUGAGAAGUUAUAACCCAAUCAAUCACGUCAGAUUAUGUGUGCUAAUUACAAAAUAAAUAAUGUUUCCAAAGAUUCACAAAACAAGAAAUUCACCAGUAAGGAAACUUUAUGUUCCUACUUUCUAAUUUGAUCAUAAUAUUUUAAAAAGCCAAACAAAAGCGUAUAUCCCUUGAAUUCUAUCAGUAUAAAUACCGGUCUUUCAUAUAAUAAAAGUCUCUAAUUGCUAAACAAGUUCAUAAACAUAUAUAGCAUAUAUAUGUCUCAUAAAACUGAGGAGUGAGGAGCUCAUAUAAUGGCUAAACACACUACUAAUCACAUCUUCAACCCUACUCCAUUUUUAACUCUCAAUUAUGGAGUAAAAUCUUCUCCAACUCCACUCUAUAUUCAACUCCAAAAUGGAGUAAUGACUAGGGUUACUCCAUUUAUAAAGUAAUCUUACUCACUACUCCAUUUUGGAGUUGAACUUUUUAUAUUUAUGAAAUAGUCCUUUUAAUCUUUAAUGUUUUUAUUUCAUACUUAAAAUAAUAUAAUAACAUGAAAAAAUAUAAUACUCCGCAAAAGAUUACUUUAUAGUUUACAUAAAAUAUGCAUAAACUCAUAAAAGUCAAAACUAA